rnacentral:tRNA from 1 species
AUCGAGAUGGCGCAGCGGAAGCGUGCGGGGCUCAUAACCCCGAGGUCCAGGAUCGAAACCUGGUCUCGAUA